rnacentral:rRNA from 1 species
GAUGAACGCUAGCUACAGGCUUAACACAUGCAAGUCGAGGGGCAGCAUGACCUAGCAAUAGGUUGAUGGCGACCGGCGCACGGGUGAGUAACACGUAUCCAACCUGCCGAUUAUUCCGGGAUAGCCUUUCGAAAGAAAGAUUAAUACUGGAUAGCAUAACGAGAAGGCAUCUUCUUGUUAUUAAAGAAUUUCGAUAAUCGAUGGGGAUGCGUGCCAUUAGUUUGUUGGCGGGGUAACGGCCCACCAAGACAUCGAUGGAUAGGGGUUCUGAGAGGAAGGUCCCCCACAUUGGAACUGAGACACGGUCCAAACUCCUACGGGAGGCAGCAGUGAGGAAUAUUGAUCAAUGGACGAGAGUCUGAACCAGCCAAGUAGCGUGAAGGAUGACUGCCCUAUGGGUUGUAAACUUCUUUUAUAUGGGAAUAAAGUGGGCCACGUGUGGCUUUUUGUAUGUACCAUACGAAUAAGGAUCGGCUAACUCCGUG